rnacentral:rRNA from 1 species
UACGUAGGGUGCAAGCGUUGUCCGGAAUUAUUGGGCGUAAAGAGCUCGUAGGCGGUUUGUCGCGUCUGCUGUGAAAACUGGGGGCUCAACCCCCAGCCUGCAGUGGGUACGGGCAGACUAGAGUGUGGUAGGGGAGACUGGAAUUCCUGGUGUAGCGGUGAAAUGCGCAGAUAUCAGGAGGAACACCGAUGGCGAAGGCAGGUCUCUGGGCCACUACUGACGCUGAGAAGCGAAAGCGUGGGAGCGAACAGGAUUAGACGUACCCGGU